rnacentral:lncRNA from 1 species
CAGAACUUCCGGGAAGGCCGUUACUCAGUCCUCCACAGAUGGACAUUUAGGUUGCUUUGCAAUCUUUUGCUACUACAAGAAGCAGCACUGUAGUGCACUUGUAUGUUUAUGUCUUUGUGCACAUGUGCAGAUAUGAGCUGACAGAAGAAUCCCCAUCUGCAGAGCUGCUGGGUGCCAGGCAGUUCACAUGAAGCCAACUCUUCUUUGCUUGACCCGGGGGCCAUGUCCUUCCCAGCCUGGACCUGGGCUCCUUACCUGGAUCCAGCGAUCGCCUCGGUUUAGGUACUGGAAGCAGACCUUCAGCUCACAGUUGGUUUUCUCCACAAGGUUCUUCACCUCUUUCAGGAACAGUGACUCUACGAUGUGGGCAUUUCAGAGAGGCCAAGAGAGUUGCUCAAGGUAACACAGUGGUAAGUGACGGGGCCAGGAACUAGACUCAUGUCCAUCUGACUCGGCCCUUGGCCACUCUGCCACGCUGCCUCUCCAGGCUGGGGUCACCCCUUACCAGCACACAAACACCGACACGGGAGGCAGGAUGUUGGGGGUCAUGAUCCACGGAGCAAUCCGGAAUAUCACGGUGUCCGUGAAGAUGGGAGUCAGGGGAAUGUCCUGGGUGUGGGAGACAAGGCGUGGGGGAUCAAAAGGUUUUGUCAGGUGCUUUCUUUGCCUGCCUUUCAAAGCGGG